rnacentral:sRNA from 2 species
CCACCCGUCAUUGGGGAGUAGCCGCCCUCCGAAUUGCGAGAGGGGCUUGCGUCAACAGACUUGAUCCAUCCGCGAUCAUGGCGCAAGCGACUUCAGGUUUGGCGAGACCUUUGACCAUGCCGCCUCUGCGUUGGGCCGGAGGGCGCGCAUGGUCAUCGGUUCAUGUCCGGCCCUGGAGUGUU